UACGUAGGUGGCAAGCGUUGUCCGGAAUUAUUGGGCGUAAAGCGCGCGCAGGCGGUCCCUUAAGUCUGAUGUGAAAGCCCACGGCUCAACCGUGGAGGGUCAUUGGAAACUGGGGGACUUGAGUACAGAAGAGGAAAGCGGAAUUCCACGUGUAGCGGUGAAAUGCGUAGAGAUGUGGAGGAACACCAGUGGCGAAGGCGCUUUCUGGUCUGUAACUGACGCUGAGGCGCGAAAGCGUGGGGAGCAAACAGG
rnacentral:rRNA from 1 species